UACGUAGGGGGCAAGCGUUGUCCGGAAUCAUUGGGCGUAAAGAGCGUGUAGGCGGCCAGAUAAGUCCGCUGUGAAAUCUCGAGGCUCAACUUCGAGCUGUCGGUGGAAACUGUCUGGCUAGAGUCCGGAAGAGGAGAAUGGAAUUCCUGGUGUAGCGGUGAAGUGCGCAGAUAUCAGGAGGAACACCAAUGGCGAAGGCAGCUCGCUGGGACGGUACUGACGCUGAGACGCGAAAGCGUGGGGAGCAAACAGG
rnacentral:rRNA from 1 species